CGUUUUCCGUGGCACCCCGGGUAUAAAUCCUUUGGAAUAGGGUAUCAUAGAGGGUGAGAAUCCCGUCUUUGACUCAGUGCAUGCUACUAUGUGAUACGUUUUCAAAGAGUCGAGUUGUUUGGGAAUGCAGCUCAAAAUGGGUGGUAAAUUUCAUCUAAGGCUAAAUAUUGGCGAGAGACCGAUAGCGAACAAGUACCGUGAGGGAAAGAUGAAAAGAACUUUGAAAAGAGAGUUAAACAGUGCGUGAAAUUGUUGAAAGGGAAACGUUUGACACCAGUUAUGCGGGUGGAAAAUCAGUCUUUUGCAAUGGGGAGUUGUGGGCGUUCAGACCGCAAGGCUGGCGUUUGCUUCAUCUUUGUUGUAAGUGAUGCACUUUUUCAUUUGCAGGUCAACAUCAGUUUGCUUUGCUGGACAAAACCCCAAGGGAAGGUGGCAGCUUAGGCUGUGUUAUAGCCCUGGGGCGAUACAGUGGAGUGGACUGAGGUUUCGCAGUGUGUGCUCUCGGGCAAGGCUGACUGGGUGCUAUGGGAUCGUUCGGCGUACAAUGCAUGCAUUUUGCGUCGUGUCUUUUUCAUACUCGCUCAACUCGGCUCUUCCACGCUUAGGAUGUUGACUUAAUGGUUUUAAACGACCCGUCUUGAAACACGGACCAAGGAGUCUAACAUAUAUGCAAGUGUUUGGGUGGCAAACCCAUGCGCGUAAUGAAAGUGAACGUAGGUGCCAUCCGCAAGGUGCAGCAUCGACCGAUCUUGAUAUUUUUGGAUAGAUUUGAGUAAGAGCAUAUAUGCUGGGACCCGAAAGAUGGUGAACUAUGCCUGAAUAGGGUGAAGCCAGAGGAAACUCUGGUGGAGGCUCGUAGCGAUUCUGACGUGCAAAUCGAUCGUCAAAUUUGGGUAUAGGGGCGAAAGA
rnacentral:rRNA from 1 species